UAUCUACUCCCUCCGUCCCAAAAUUAUUGUCUUAAAUUUGUCUAGAUACGGAUGUACCUAAUACUAAAACGUGACUUGAUACAUCCGUAUUUAGACAAAUCUAAGACAAGAAUUUUGGGACGGAGGGAGUAUCUA
rnacentral:pre_miRNA from 1 species